rnacentral:rRNA from 1 species
CUGAGUAGAGCGGCGCACGGGUGAGUAACGCGUGGAUGAUCUACCCUUGAGUACGGGAUAACGGUGCGAAAGCGCCGCUAAUACCGAAUAACAAUCCAUUUCAUCAUGGGUUUAAAGCAGGCCUCUGAAUGUAAGCUUGCGCUUGAGGAUGAGUCCGCGUCCCAUUAGCUUGUUGGCGGGGUAACGGCCCACCAAGGCUACGAUGGGUAGCUGGUCUGAGAGGAUGAUCAGCCACACUGGAACUGAAACACGGUCCAGACUCCUACGGGAGGCAGCAGUGGGGAAUAUUGCGCAAUGGGGGAAACCCUGACGCAGCGACGUCGUGUGAGGGAAGAAGGCUUUCGGGUCGUAAACCUCUGUCAGAAGGGAAGAAACGUCAGGAUUCGAAUAGGGUCCUGGCCUGACGGUACCUUCAAAGGAAGCGCCGGCUAACUCCGUGCCAGCAGCCGCGGUAAUACGGAGGGCGCGAGCGUUAAUCGGAAUCACUGGGCGUAAAGCGUGCGUAGGCGGUUUGAUAAGUCAGACGUGAAAUCCCUCGGCUCAACCGGGGAACUGCGUUUGAAACUGUUAGACUCGAGUCCUGGAGAGGGUGGCGGAAUUCCUGGUGUAGGAGUGAAAUCCGUAGAUAUCAGGAGGAACACCGGUGGCGAAGGCGGCCACCUGGACAGGUACUGACGCUGAGGCACGAAAGCGUGGGGAGCAAACAGGAUUAGAUACCCUGGUAGUCCACGCGGUAAACGAUGGAUGCUAGGUGUCGGGGANCGAUCUUCGGCGCCGCAGCUAACGCAUUAAGCAUCCCGCCUGGGGAGUACGGUCGCAAGG